AUUGAACGCUGGCGGCAGGCCUAACACAUGCAAGUCGAACGAGUGGCGGACGGGUGAGUAAUGUCUGGGAAACUGCCCGAUGGAGGGGGAUAACUACUGGAAACGGUAGCUAAUACCGCAUACCAUCGGAUGUGCCCAGAUGGGAUUAGCUAGUAGGUGGGGUAAAGGCUCACCAAGGCGAAGCUCCCUAGCUGGUCUGAGAGGAUGACCGACCACACUGGAACUGAGACACGGUCCAUAGUCCUACGGGAGGCAUAAGUGGGGAAUAUUGCACAAUGGGCGAAAGCCUGAUGCAGCCAUGCCGCGUGUAUGAAGAAGGGCUUCGGGUUAUAAAGUACUUUCAGCGGUGAGGAGUUACCCGAAGAAGAAGCACCGGCUAACUCCGUGCCAGCAGCCGCGGUAAUAC
rnacentral:rRNA from 1 species